CGGGUGUUUGCCCCUUGUCAGGAAUAAACUCCUGGGGGUCAGGGGAAGGGAGGUGGAGCCAACGUGUGCCUUGGUGGUGCAGAGCAGUGAUCUGCUGUGGGCGCCGCCUCCCAGGGUGGGGCACAGGGUGGGUGCCCUGGGCCCAUGACUAACUGAUGGCUCCCUUUCCCUGGAGGAGGACCUGGGCCAGGUAGAGGAGCUACAGGAGCUUCUGGAGAAGCAAAACUUUGAGUUGAGCCAGGCCCGAGAGCGACUGGUCACCCUGACAGCAACGGUGGCAGAACUUGAAGAGGACCUGGGCACAGCCCGCCGGGACCUUAUUAAGUCAGAGGAGCUGAGCAGCAAGCACCAGCGGGACCUCCAUGAGGCUCUGGCCCAGAAGGAGGACAUGGAGGAGCGAAUCACCACACUGGAGAAACGCUACCUGGCUGCUCAGCGCGAGGCCACCUCCAUCCACGACCUCAAUGACAAACUGGAGAAUGAACUGGCCAACAAGGAGUCGCUGCACCGUCAGUGCGAGGAGAAGGCCCGGCACCUCCAGGAGCUGCUGGAGGUGGCAGAGCAGAAGCUGCAGCAGACGAUGCGCAAGGCAGAGACGCUGCCGGAGGUGGAGGCUGAGCUGGCCCAGAGAAUCGCAGCCCUCACCAAGGCUGAGGAACGGCACGGAAACAUCGAGGAGCAUCUUCAGCAUCUGGAAGGGCAGCUGGAGGAGAAGAACCAGGAGCUGGCAAGGGUGCGUCAGCGGGAGAAGAUGAACGAGGACCAUAACAAGCGGCUGUCAGAUACCGUGGACCGGCUGCUUAGCGAGUCAAAUGAGCGCCUGCAGCUGCAUCUCAAAGA
rnacentral:lncRNA from 1 species